rnacentral:rRNA from 1 species
CUACGGGCGGCUGCAGUGGGGAAUAUUGCACAAUGGGCGCAAGCCUGAUGCAGCCAUGCCGCGUGUAUGAAGAAGGCCUUCGGGUUGUAAAGUACUUUCAGCGGGGAGGAAGGGAGUAAAGUUAAUACCUUUGCUCAUUGACGUUACCCGCAGAAGAAGCACCGGCUAACUCCGUGCCAGCAGCCGCGGUAAUACGGAGGGUGCAAGCGUUGAUCGGAAUUACUGGGCGUAAAGCGCACGCAGGCGGUUUGUUAAGUCAGAUGUGAAAUCCCCGGGCUCAACCUGGGAACUGCAUCUGAUACUGGCAAGCUUGAGUCUCGUAGAGGGGGGUAGAAUUCCAGGUGUAGCGGUGAAAUGCGUAGAGAUCUGGAGGAAUACCGGUGGCGAAGGCGGCCCCCUGGACGAAGACUGACGCUCAGGUGCGAAAGCGUGGGGAGCAAACAGGAUUAGAUACCCUCGUAGUC